rnacentral:rRNA from 1 species
AACGAACGCUGGCGGCAUGCCUAACACAUGCAAGUCGAACGAAGCCUUCGGGCUUAGUGGCGCACGGGUGCGUAACGCGUGGGAAUCUGCCCUUGGGUUCGGAAUAACAGUUAGAAAUGACUGCUAAUACCGAAUGAUGUCUUCGGACCAAAGAUUUAUCGCCCAAGGAUGAGCCCGCGUCGGAUUAGCUAGUUGGUGAGGUAAAGGCUCACCAAGGCGACGAUCCGUAGCUGGUCUGAGAGGAUGAUCAGCCACACUGGGACUGAGACACGGCCCAGACUCCUACGGGAGGCAGCAGUGGGGAAUAUUGGACAAUGGGCGGAAAGCCUGAUCCAGCAAUGCCGCGUGAGUGAUGAAGGCCUUAGGGUUGUAAAGCUCUUUUACCCGGGAUGAUAAUGACAGUACCGGAGAAUAAGCCCCGGACUAACUCCGUGCCAGCAGCCGCGGU